GUGCUCUCGUAGAGUCGGGCUGCUUGGGAGUGCAGCCUGAAGCGGGUGGUAAAUUCCAUCUAAAGCUAAAUACUGGCGGGAGACCGAUAGCGAACAAGUACCGUGAGGGAAAGAUGCAAAGAACUUUGAAAAGAGAGUUAAAGAGUGCUUGAAAUUGGCAGGAGGAAACCCGGUUGCGCGUGGCAUUUGGCGUGGUCGACUCAGCCGCGCGCGGAGAUCUGUAGGGGACCUAACGGCCUCGUGGUCAGCGCGCGCGGUGCACUUCGGCCGCGUCGGUCAGCCGCGUUUCUGCGCGGCCCAUACGGCCGCGGGCAGGGCUUCGGCGCCGCCUGCGGUUUGGGGGUCGCGCGGGAUCCCGGCUGAUGCGCACGGGCGCAACCGACCCGUCUAGAAACACGGACCAAGGAGUCUGACGCGUGUGCGAGUACUAGAGUGGCAAGCUCGAGUGCGCAAUGAAAGUGAAGGGCGUGCCCCGUCAACCGAUCUUGAUCUUCUGUGAAGGGUUUGAGUGGAGCACAUCUGUCGGGACCCGAAAGAUGGUGAACUAUGCCUGAGGAGGGUGAAGCCAGAGGAAACUCUGGUGGAGGCUCGUAGCGAUACUGACGUGCAAAUCGUUCGUCGAACUUGGGUAUAGGGGCGAAAGACUAAUCGAACCAUCUAGUAGCUGGUUCCCUCCGAAGUUUCCCUCAGGAUAGCUUGAACGCCGACGGUUUUGUCAGGUAAAGCGAAUGAUUAGAGGCCUUGGGGCUGAAACAGCCUUAACCUAUUCUCAAACUUUAAAUGGGCAAGAGGCGCCGGAUGCUUGACUGAUCCGGC
rnacentral:rRNA from 1 species